GACGAACGCUGGCGGCGUGCUUAACACAUGCAAGUCGAACGGAAAGGCCCCUUUGGGGGUACUCGAGUGGCGCACGGGUGAGUAACACGUGAGUAACCUGCCCUUGACUUCGGGAUAACUUCAGGAAACUGGGGCUAAUACCGGAUAGGAAUCCUUGCUGCAUGGUGGGGGUUGGAAAGCUUCGGCGGUUUUGGAUGGACUCGCGGCUUAUCAGCUUGUUGGUGGGGUAGUGGCUUACCAAGGCUUUGACGGGUAGCCGGCCUGAGAGGGCGACCGGCCACCUUGGGACUGAGAUACGGCCCAGACUCCUACGGGAGGAAGCAGUGGGGAAUAUUGCACAAUGGGCGGAAGUCUGAUGCAGCAACGCCGCGUGCGGGAUGACGGCCUUCGGGUUGUAAACCGCUUUCAGCAGGGGCGAAGCUUGUGGUGACGGUACCUGCAGAAGAAGCACCGGCUAACUACGUG
rnacentral:rRNA from 1 species